UUUUAACCACCCCAUCGGUGGUGCUGACGCUUAUGGGUUGCAGAAAGAAAGAGAUGACCUACGAGAUGACAUCAGUUAGUUAGUUUUAUUUGGUCCUAAUCAUUGCAGCAGCAGCUUCAACCUAAACCUAAAAGCCCCUUCUUCUUUCUUUCUGCGACUGAAUCACUGAAUUGAAUCCAACUAGCGUCGAAGCUCAGCAAUUGGAUUGAACAUAAUUUACCUCCAGUGGUGAGGUUGCAAAUUGGAAGAAGAUGAAAAAGGGAGUUCAUCCGUGGAAGCAAUGGAUAUCCUACGUUACACAAACGGGUCUUUGGGAACUAUGAGCGGCUAUAAUCAGUUUGAAGGUUGAACUGCUGGACUUGUCUACUUUAAUUUUCGAAGGAAGAAAGUGUACAGAUCACAUUGGAAUUUUGUUCCAUCAUCAUUGUGUCUGAACUUGUGGAAAUGGCUGCCGAAGAUGAUAAAAAUCUUAUUGAAAUCUUGGAAAACCUGAAUCCAGUAGAUGUUGCUAAAUACAUGAAUUUUGUUAGUGCUCCACAAGCUGGUGCUAUAGCAACAUUUGCUGGCACAACUCGCGACACUUUUGAAGGGAAAACAGUCUUGGAGUUGAGAUAUGAAGCUUAUGUUCCAAUGGCAAUACGUUGUAUUAACUUGAUCUGUUCAUCUGCUAGAGCAUCCUGGAACCUACAUUCCAUUGCUGUUGCUCAUCGUAUAGGAACAGUGCCUGUGGGUGAAACAAGUGUCUUCAUAGCUGUCUCAUCUGUCCACAGGGCAGAUGCACUGGAGGCAUGUAGAUUUUUGAUAGAUGAGAUAAAAGCCAAAGUUCCUAUUUGGAAAAAAGAGGUCUAUUCAAAUGGGGAGGUUUGGAAGGAGAACAGUGAGUUCCUAGAGAGGAGGUCCGAACUUGGUAACAAUGAUGCAGGUUGCUGCGGGAAAAAGGUAGUAAUUAAAGAGCAGACCAAAAAGGCUUGCUGUGGGACUAAGGUUCGGGUUGAUGAUCAAGCUAAUGAGGCGUCACAUGAAAAAAAUAUAGGAGGAGAUGGAAGAUAAGGCUAUAGAUUCCAUCGCUGUUGCUGAAGGUCAGAGAAAAACUGAAGAUGCAUCAAGGAGCUAAAAUUGCACCUCAUAAGCUAUGAAAAUACUUUGGAGGCUACAAAUAGGAUCCACAAAUGUAAUAGGCUCUAAAUGGGAGGUUGAGCAAACAACCAUUACAUGAGAGUAAGGUAUGUGAAGAGCUUGAAACUUCCCACAAUCACACCACCAAUUAUUUAACUUAACAAAUGUAUGACACUGGAUGACGUCCAAGUUGAGGAGUGGAAAUCUCCCGAACAUCGAAGACUGAAUUAUGGCAAUCAUGACACAUGACAUAUUGUUGUUCAUUUUUUCUUAACAAAGCAUAAAUAUCCUCUGGAUAUUGGUAGCCAGCUCGUAACAUGCAUUCAAUCUUUGUCCCUCAUUCCAUGAACCAUUUUUUGUUCUUUCAAAAAAUAAUUUAACAAGAGCACAAAUUGGCAAUGAUCUUGCUCUCUUCAAAAAGAAGUUCAUAAAUUCGGCUAAAGUUUUUGUCAUGUGGCCAUAUCUUUUUUCCCAUUAUAAGCUUAGGUCCAUUUUUCCAAUGAUAUUUGGUCUAUCCAAGAAGUUGCUUGUUGAAAUUCGACUUUCAUAGUAGAUAUCUUUGCUUGAAGUGUAGGUUGUUUCAUUUCAUAACCUGUGACAAAUUCGAUAUUAGAAAAUAACAGUGUUUUAUUGCAUUAGAAAAUUGAAAAUAAUUAAUGUAGGUACCCAUGUUUAGUAGAUGUGUCUUCAAUUCUGCAUUUUUGAACUGUUUAUUGAAAUUAGAGGAAACAUGGCAAAUGUAAUAAAUGGAUGUGAGUCCAUUUCCUUCCCAAGCAACUUCUAGGGAUUGUAGUGCUGAAGGUAUGGUUGUGCCUCUAUUAGUGAUCAGACAUAUAUUUGGUUGAGGUGUCAUAGUUGGAAGAACAAGAUCAUAGUUUCCUUUGUUUCACGUUCAACAAUAGCAAAGGCUAAUGAAAAGAUGUUGCGGUUUCCAUCUUGACCAAUUGUUGUCGAUAAUGUACCAUUGUAUCUUCCCAUCAAAAAGUUCCAUCAACUUGCACUACUGGCUUGUAAUAGUUGAAUCCAUCAAUACAUGGCUUAAAAGACCAUAAAA